rnacentral:lncRNA from 1 species
GUCCCAUCACUACUAUUGCACUACUUUGUUUGCAUCCAUUCUUUGCAUUCAUUUUAAAAAAAAUAUUUGUUAGCAUUUGUUGUAUAUGAGGACAACGUUAAAAUCUAUAAUAUGGUGGCGAUCAAAACUAUUCACACUUCCUGAUUCUAUGUAGGGAGCUAAUCUACAAGUCACACUUUCAAACUAACACUGCAGAGAAGUUUUCCGAGGGAAAGGACAUGGCUCAUACUAAUAAAUCAAGGAACAAGAGGACAAGAUCUACAGUGGGUAGAGGUGGAAAUCAGGCAAGCCUUUCAAUAUUGAUUCUGGGAUUCUUCAGAGUGUGAUCCACCUGUGGAGGCCCUCUGGACUUCCCACUGCUGCCUCCAUCCAGUAUCAUGGAAUCUUAGUUUUCUAUACCAGCACCAAAAUUAAUGCCUAUCCAGAGAAAGUAACCAAUAAAUAUUGUUGAAUGGAUGAAUGAAGAGGAAAUAAAUAUUGAGCAUCUGCUAUAUCUUUGUAUAAAUCAUAGGGUUGCUAUUAUUUCUAUUGUGCAGCUGAGAAAA